UUGCUGAUAGCUUGGUGGGUAGGCAUGAGACUCUUUAAUCUCAGGGUUGUGGGUUCAAGCCCCAUACUGGGCAAA